GCCUCUCCAUCAAAUCAUAAAUACCCUCCCAUCGCGACGCCAGGCUCAGAUCAGAUUCCGAUCACCCGUGUUCCGCCCCCAAUCUCCUCGUGUUCGCUUGUGUCGCUGUUUCCAGGGACGCCUCCGGCUCGUCGCUCCACAGAGAUCUCCGCCUCCCACAAGAUGCAGAUCUUUGUUAAGACCCUGACUGGCAAGACCAUCACUCUUGAGGUCGAGAGCUCAGACACCAUUGACAAUGUCAAAGCCAAGAUCCAGGACAAGGAGGGCAUCCCCCCGGACCAGCAGAGGCUCAUUUUCGCUGGGAAGCAGCUAAAGGAUGGUCGCACCCUGGCUGACUACAACAUCCAAAAGGAGUCGACUCUCCACCUUGUCCUGCGUCUGAGGGGUGGCAUGCAGAUUUUUGUGAAGACUCACUGGGAAGACCAUCACUCUCGAGGUUGAGAGCUCCGACACCAUCGACAAUGUCAAGGCCAAGAUUCAGGAUAAGGAGGGCAUCCCCCCGGACCAGCAGAGGCUCAUCUUUGCUGGCAAGCAGCUUGAGGAUGGUCGUACGCUAGCUGACUAUAACAUCCAGAAGGAGUCCACCCUCCACCUUGUCCUGCGUCUGAGGGGUGGCAUGCAGAUAUUUGUGAAGACCCUCACCGGGAAGACCAUAACUCUUGAGGUUGAGAGCUCCGACACCAUCGACAAUGUCAAGGCAAAGAUUCAGGACAAAGAGGGAAUCCCACCUGAUCAGCAGAGGCUCAUCUUUGCCGGAAAGCAACUUGAGGAUGGGCGCACUCUGGCUGACUACAAUAUCCAGAAGGAAUCUACUCUUCACUUGGUCCUCCGCCUCCGAGGAGGGAUGCAGAUCUUUGUAAAGACACUUACUGGGAAGACAAUCACGCUGGAGGUCGAGAGCUCUGACACAAUUGACAAUGUUAAGGCCAAGAUCCAGGACAAGGAGGGCAUCCCACCAGACCAGCAGCGACUUAUCUUUGCUGGGAAGCAGCUUGAGGAUGGGCGCACAUUGGCGGACUACAAUAUUCAGAAGGAAUCUACACUUCAUCUUGUCCUGCGUCUCAGGGGAGGGAUGCAGAUCUUUGUCAAGACAUUGACUGGCAAGACAAUCACCCUGGAGGUGGAGAGCUCCGACACCAUUGAUAAUGUGAAGGCCAAAAUCCAGGACAAGGAGGGAAUUCCUCCAGAUCAGCAGAGGCUUAUCUUUGCCGGGAAGCAGCUGGAGGAUGGACGUACCUUGGCAGAUUACAACAUCCAGAAGGAAUCCACUCUUCAUCUGGUCCUGCGGCUCCGUGGUGGCCUUGUUAACUAAGGGAUCAAGCGGGAGUGCCCUGCUGUGGAGUUGAUGUGGUUGGAACUUGUAGUUGUGAUACCCUAGUACCUCGUAGUAUUCUGUGUUUGGUCGUGUAAACUCUGCUAUUACUUUCGCUUGGUCAUGUAAACUCUGCUAUUACUUUCGCAUUCGUACUCAGUAUUCCCAGUUUCUGUGUUCAUUGAUUGCA